rnacentral:rRNA from 2 species
GUUUGACCUCGGAUCAGGUAGGGAUACCCG